rnacentral:rRNA from 1 species
UGUGUGUUAGUGGAAGCGUCUGGAAAGGCGCGCGAUACAGGGUGACAGCCCCGUACACAAAAAUGCACAUGCUGUGAGCUCGAUGAGUAGGGCGGGACACGUGGUAUCCUGUCUGAAUAUGGGGGGACCAUCCUCCAAGGCUAAAUACUCCUGACUGACCGAUAGUGAACCAGUACCGUGAGGGAAAGGCGAAAAGAACCCCGGCGAGGGGAGUGAAAAAGAACCUGAAACCGUGUACGUACAAGCAGUGGGAGCACGCUUAGGCGUGUGACUGCGUACCUUUUGUAUAAUGGGUCAGCGACUUAUAUUCUGUAGCAAGGUUAACCGAAUAGGGGAGCCGAAGGGAAACCGAGUCUUAACUGGGCGUUAAGUUGCAGGGUAUAGACCCGAAACCCGGUGAUCUAGCCAUGGGCAGGUUGAAGGUUGGGUAACACUAACUGGAGGACCGAACCGACUAAUGUUGAAAAAUUAGCGGAUGACUUGUGGCUGGGGGUGAAAGGCCAAUCAAACCGGGAGAUAGCUGGUUCUCCCCGAAAGCUAUUUAGGUAGCGCCUCGUGAAUUCAUCUCCGGGGGUAGAGCACUGUUUCGGCAAGGGGGUCAUCCCGACUUACCAACCCGAUGCAAACUGCGAAUACCGGAGAAUGUUAUCACGGGAGACACACGGCGGGUGCUAACGUCCGUCGUGAAGAGGGAAACAACCCAGACCGCCAGCUAAGGUCCCAAAGUCAUGGUUAAGUGGGAAACGAUGUGGGAAGGCCCAGACAGCCAGGAUGUUGGCUUAGAAGCAGCCAUCAUUUAAAGAAAGCGUAAUAGCUCACUGGUCGAGUCGGCCUGCGCGGAAGAUGUAACGGGGCUAAACCAUGCACCGAAGCUGCGGCAGCGACGCUUAUGCGUUGUUGGGUAGGGGAGCGUUCUGUAAGCCUGCGAAGGUGUGCUGUGAGGCAUGCUGGAGGUAUCAGAAGUGCGAAUGCUGACAUAAGUAACGAUAAAGCGGGUGAAAAGCCCGCUCGCCGGAAGACCAAGGGUUCCUGUCCAACGUUAAUCGGGGCAGGGUGAGUCGACCCCUAAGGCGAGGCCGAAAGGCGUAGUCGAUGGGAAACAGGUUAAUAUUCCUGUACUUGGUGUUACUGCGAAGGGGGGACGGAGAAGGCUAUGUUGGCCGGGCGACGGUUGUCCCGGUUUAAGCGUGUAGGCUGGUUUUCCAGGCAAAUCCGGAAAAUCAAGGCUGAGGCGUGAUGACGAGGCACUACGGUGCUGAAGCAACAAAUGCCCUGCUUCCAGGAAAAGCCUCUAAGCAUCAGGUAACAUCAAAUCGUACCCCAAACCGACACAGGUGGUCAGGUAGAGAAUACCAAGGCGCUUGAGAGAACUCGGGUGAAGGAACUAGGCAAAAUGGUGCCGUAACUUCGGGAGAAGGCACGC